CAGUCGCCGCGGUAAUACGUAUGUCGCGAGCGUUAUCCGGAAUUAUUGGGCAUAAAGGGCAUCUAGGCGGCCGGAUAAGUCUGGGGUGAAAACUUGCGGCUCAACCGCAAGCCUGCCCUGGAAACUAUGCGGCUAGAGUACUGGAGAGGUGGACGGAACUGCACGAGUAGAGGUGAAAUUCGUAGAUAUGUGCAGGAAUGCCGAUGAUGAAGAUAGUCCACUGGACGGUAACUGACGCUGAAGUGCGAAAGCUAGGGGAGCAAACAGGAUUAGAUACCCCCGUAGUCCCUGUCUCUUAUAC
rnacentral:rRNA from 1 species